rnacentral:lncRNA from 1 species
CUGCUUUUGGUGGUGGUGGGGCAUAACUCCCCUGUCAGUCAGGAGCUGGGCUAUUGUUGUGUCUCAUAUCCCUGGGGACUGUGCUCAGGGCCUGGUGCAGGGCAGCCAGUAUGGAAAAGGUGCUCACUCCCAGCAAGAAGCUGGGACAGAAAGAUAAGUGGUGGUGGUGGAAAGGACAAACUGAGGAGAUGAAGAAAGGCAGUGAGGAUCCAGGAGUCUGAUUGUUAUGUUGGCAAAACAUCAGAGGAGGAAGGAAAACAGGACUAACCUCCCUGUCCAGCCCCCUCCAAACUCUCCCGUUCUGCAGCUAGAAGGAACUUUCCAGACCACGUGGACAACCAGGGCCUGGACUUCCAGGGCUCCAGGGUCAGCUUAGGCCCACCUAACCUGACCAUGUCACACACUCCAGGCAAAAAGAAGGAUUUCUCUGCUCUAUUAAUACCAGACUUUCCCAC